rnacentral:rRNA from 1 species
ACACUCCUACGGGAGGCAGCAGUGGGGAAUUUUGGACAAUGGGCGAAAGCCUGAUCCAGCAAUGCCGCGUGAGUGAAGAAGGCCUUCGGGUUGUAAAGCUCUUUUGUCAGGGAAGAAACGGUGAGAGCUAAUAUCUUUUGCUAAUGACGGUACCUGAAGAAUAAGCACCGGCUAACUACGUGCCAGCAGCCGCGGUAAUACGUAGGGUGCAAGCGUUAAUCGGAAUUACUGGGCGUAAAGCGUGCGCAGGCGGUUUUGUAAGUCUGAUGUGAAAUCCCCGGGCUCAACCUGGGAAUUGCAUUGGAGACUGCAAGGCUAGAAUCUGGCAGAGGGGGGUAGAAUUCCACGUGUAGCAGUGAAAUGCGUAGAUAUGUGGAGGAACACCGAUGGCGAAGGCAGCCCCCUGGGUCAAGAUUGACGCUCAUGCACGAAAGCGUGGGGAGCAAACAGGAUUAGAAACCCGUGUAGUCCCAUGA